AUGAGCUGCAGCAAAGAAUGGCAAAUAACUUUUAUGCUUAACACAAUUUAAUAACCUGAAAUGAAGGUUUGGACAACAAAGCCCUCAGCAGGUGCUGACGGGUACAACUUCCUGGAGAAGCAGAAAGGCACUGAGAAAACAUCUUGCUCUGUUGCUCAGGCUGGAGCGCAAUGGUGCCAUCGUAGCUUACUGUAACCUUGAACGUCUGUGCUCAAGCAAUCUUCCUGCCUCAGCCUCCUGAGUAGCUGGGACUACAGAGACAGGGUCUUGUUCUAUUGUCCAAGCUGGUCUUGAAUUCCUGACCUCAAGCAAUCCUCCUGCCUCUGCCUCCCAAAGCACUGGGAUUAUUACAGGUAUGAGCCACCGCACUGGGCCGUCAUGCUUACUCUUCGGAGAGAGAAGUGAAGUAUCUGAACGCCUCAGCCUGAGAAUGGGUCAUUUGCAAAGUAAAUAAAGGCAAUGCCAAACGUCAGUACAACAAGCAAUUGAACAGAAUGAUUGCAAACUGCUAAUGAAGGAGAAGGCAAGGUGCGGUUAGGAUGAACUGUAGAAGGACCCGUCCCCUAGAGCUCAUUGAGCAUCCACCCUGCUGUCCGGCUGUCCUCUCCAUAGGGGGCUCGAUGGUCUUUGCCGACUUGAGGAAAUAGGUCACUGUAUUGCAGCAGAUCCUUGGUCGUGGGGCUGGGUUGGUCAUUGCCACUAUUUUAUGGGAUGGGGAAUUUGGAAGAUUAUGAAGUGUCAGCUGGUUGCCCUUGGACAUGCAGUGAGAGGGAGGAUUCUGUUUUGCUG
rnacentral:lncRNA from 1 species